rnacentral:rRNA from 1 species
CACGUAGGGGGCAAGCGUUGUCCGGAUUUAUUGGGCGUAAAGAGCUCGUAGGCGGCUUAGUAAGUCGGGUGUGAAACCUCCAGGCUCAACCUGGAGACGCCACCCGAUACUGCUGUGGCUAGAGUCCGGUAGGGGAGCGUGGAAUUCCUGGUGUAGCGGUGAAAUGCGUAGAGAUCAUGAGGAAGACCAGUGGCGAAGGCGGGUCUCUGGACAGUUCCUGACACUGAGACACGAAGGCCAGGGGAGCAAACGGG